UACCAGCACCCCGAGUGGUCGGGACGAUUAUUGGGCCUAAAGCAUCCGUAGCCGGUUCUGCAAGUCCUCCGUUAAAUCCAGCUGCUCAACAGAUGGGCCGCGGAGGAUACUACAGAGCUAGGAGGCAGGAGAGGCAAGCGGUACUCAGUGGGUAGGGGUAAAAUCCGUUGAUCCAUUGAAGACCACCAGUGGCGAAGGCGGCUUGCCAGAAUGCGCUCGACGGUGAGGGAUGAAAGCUGGGGGAGCAGACCGG
rnacentral:rRNA from 1 species